rnacentral:rRNA from 1 species
UACGUAGGUGGCGAGCGUUGUCCGGAAUUACUGGGUGUAAAGGGCGUGCAGGCGGGACUGCAAGUCAGAUGUGAAAUUCCCAGGCUUAACCUGGGCGCUGCAUCUGAAACUGUAGUUCUUGAGUGUCGGAGAGGAAAGCGGAAUUCCUAGUGUAGCGGUGAAAUGCGUAGAUAUUAGGAGGAACACCAGUGGCGAAGGCGGCUUUCUGGACGAUAACUGACGCUGAGGCGCGAAAGAGUGGGGAGCAAACAGG